rnacentral:rRNA from 1 species
UUAAGUUAUUAAGGGCGCACGGUGGAUGCCUUGGCACUAGAAGCCGAUGAAGGACGUUACUAACGACGAUAUGCUUUGGGGAGCUGUAAGUAAGCUUUGAUCCAGAGAUUUCCGAAUGGGGAAACCCAGCAUGAGUUAUGUCAUGUUAUCGAUAUGUGAAUACAUAGCAUAUCAGAAGGCACACCCGGAGAACUGAAACAUCUUAGUACCCGGAGGAAGAGAAAGAAAAUUCGAUUCCCUUAGUAGCGGCGAGCGAAACGGGAAGAGCCCAAACCAACAAGCUUGCUUGUUGGGGUUGUAGGACACUCUAUACGGAGUUACAAAGGACGACAUUAGACGAAUCAUCUGGAAAGAUGAAUCAAAGAAGGUAAUAAUCCUGUAGUCGAAAAUGUUGUCUCUCUUGAGUGGAUCCUGAGUACGACGGAGCACGUGAAAUUCCGUCGGAAUCUGGGAGGACCAUCUCCUAAGGCUAAAUACUCUCUAGUGACCGAUAGUGAACCAGUACCGUGAGGGAAAGGUGAAAAGCACCCCGGAAGGGGAGUGAAAUAGAACCUGAAACCGUGUGCUUACAAGUAGUCAGAGCCCGUUAAUGGGUGAUGGCGUGCCUUUUGUAGAAUGAACCGGCGAGUUACGAUUUGAUGCAAGGUUAAGCAGUAAAUGUGGAGCCGUAGCGAAAGCGAGUCUGAAUAGGGCGUUUAGUAUUUGGUCGUAGACCCGAAACCAGGUGAUCUACCCUUGGUCAGGUUGAAGUUCAGGUAACACUGAAUGGAGGACCGAACCGACUUACGUUGAAAAGUGAGCGGAUGAACUGAGGGUAGCGGAGAAAUUCCAAUCGAACCUGGAGAUAGCUGGUUCUCUCCGAAAUAGCUUUAGGGCUAGCCUCAAGUGAUGAUUAUUGGAGGUAGAGCACUGUUUGGACGAGGGGCCCCUCUCGGGUUACCGAAUUCAGACAAACUCCGAAUGCCAAUUAAUUUAACUUGGGAGUCAGAACAUGGGUGAUAAGGUCCGUGUUCGAAAGGGAAACAGCCCAGACCACCAGCUAAGGUCCCAAAAUAUAUGUUAAGUGGAAAAGGAUGUGGCGUUGCCCAGACAACUAGGAUGUUGGCUUAGAAGCAGCCAUCAUUUAAAGAGUGCGUAAUAGCUCACUAGUCGAGUGACACUGCGCCGAAAAUGUACCGGGGCUAAACAUAUUACCGAAGCUGUGGAUUGUCCUUUGGACAAUGGUAGGAGAGCGUUCUAAGGGCGUUGAAGCAUGAUCGUAAGGACAUGUGGAGCGCUUAGAAGUGAGAAUGCCGGUGUGAGUAGCGAAAGACGGGUGAGAAUCCCGUCCACCGAUUGACUAAGGUUUCCAGAGGAAGGCUCGUCCGCUCUGGGUUAGUCGGGUCCUAAGCUGAGGCCGACAGGCGUAGGCGAUGGAUAACAGGUUGAUAUUCCUGUACCACCUAUAAUCGUUUUAAUCGAUGGGGGGACGCAGUAGGAUAGGCGAAGCGUGCGAUUGGAUUGCACGUCUAAGCAGUAAGGCUGAGUAUUAGGCAAAUCCGGUACUCGUUAAGGCUGAGCUGUGAUGGGGAGAAGACAUUGAGUCUUCGAGUCGUUGAUUUCACACUGCCGAGAAAAGCCUCUAGAUAGAAAAUAGGUGCCCGUACCGCAAACCGACACAGGUAGUCAAGAUGAGAAUUCUAAGGUGAGCGAGCGAACUCUCGUUAAGGAACUCGGCAAAAUGACCCCGUAACUUCGGGAGAAGGGGUGCUCUUUAGGGUUAACGCCCAGAAGAGCCGCAGUGAAUAGGCCCAAGCGACUGUUUAUCAAAAACACAGGUCUCUGCUAAACCGUAAGGUGAUGUAUAGGGGCUGACGCCUGCCCGGUGCUGGAAGGUUAAGAGGAGUGGUUAGCUUCUGCGAAGCUACGAAUCGAAGCCCCAGUAAACGGCGGCCGUAACUAUAACGGUCCUAAGGUAGCGAAAUUCCUUGUCGGGUAAGUUCCGACCCGCACGAAAGGCGUAACGAUUUGGGCACUGUCUCAACGAGAGACUCGGUGAAAUCAUAGUACCUGUGAAGAUGCAGGUUACCCGCGACAGGACGGAAAGACCCCGUGGAGCUUUACUGUAGCCUGAUAUUGAAAUUCGGCACAGCUUGUACAGGAUAGGUAGGAGCCUUUGAAACGUGAGCGCUAGCUUACGUGGAGGCGCUGGUGGGAUACUACCCUAGCUGUGUUGGCUUUCUAACCCGCACCACUUAUCGUGGUGGGAGACAGUGUCAGACGGGCAGUUUGACUGGGGCGGUCGCCUCCUAAAAGGUAACGGAGGCGCUCAAAGGUUCCCUCAGAAUGGUUGGAAAUCAUUCAUAGAGUGUAAAGGCAUAAGGGAGCUUGACUGCGAGACCUACAAGUCGAGCAGGGUCGAAAGACGGACUUAGUGAUCCGGUGGUUCCGCAUGGAAGGGCCAUCGCUCAACGGAUAAAAGCUACCCCGGGGAUAACAGGCUUAUCUCCCCCAAGAGUUCACAUCGACGGGGAGGUUUGGCACCUCGAUGUCGGCUCAUCGCAUCCUGGGGCUGUAGUCGGUCCCAAGGGUUGGGCUGUUCGCCCAUUAAAGCGGUACGCGAGCUGGGUUCAGAACGUCGUGAGACAGUUCGGUCCCUAUCCGUCGUGGGCGUAGGAAAUUUGAGAGGAGCUGUCCUUAGUACGAGAGGACCGGGAUGGACAUACCUCUGGUGUACCAGUUGUCGUGCCAACGGCAUAGCUGGGUAGCUAUGUGUGGACGGGAUAAGUGCUGAAAGCAUCUAAGCAUGAAGCCCCCCUCAAGAUGAGAUUUCCCAACUUCGGUUAUAAGAUCCCUCAAAGAUGAUGAGGUUAAUAGGUUCGAGGUGGAAGCAUGGUGACAUGUGGAGCUGACGAAUACUAAUCGAUCGAAGACUUAAUCAA